UACAGAGGUCUCAAGCGUUGUUCGGGUUCAUUGGGCGUAAAGGGUGCGUAGGCGGCGCGGUAAGUCGGGUGUGAAAUCUCGGAGCUUAACUCCGAAACUGCAUUCGAUACUGCCGUGCUUGAGGACUGGAGAGGAGACUGGAAUUUACGGUGUAGCGGUGAAAUGCGUAGAUAUCGUAAGGAAGACCAGUGGCGAAAGCGGCUCACUGGACCAUAACUGACGCUGAUGCACGAAAGCUAGGGGAGCAAACAGG
rnacentral:rRNA from 1 species